rnacentral:rRNA from 1 species
ACUGCUCAGUAACACGUGGAUAACCUGCCCUUGGGUCUGGGAUAACCCCGGGAAACUGGGGAUAAUACCGGAUAACGCAUAUAUGCUGGAAUGCUUUAUGCGUAAAAUGGAUUCGUCUGCCCAAGGAUGGGUCUGCGGCCUAUCAGGUAGUAGUGGGUGUAAUGUACCUACUAGCCUACAACGGGUACGGGUUGUGAGAGCAAGAGCCCGGAGAUGGAUUCUGAGACAUGAAUCCAGGCCCUACGGGGCGCAGCAGGCGCGAAAACUUUACAAUGCGGGAAACCGUGAUAAGGGGACACCGAGUGCCAGCAUCAUAUGCUGGCUGUCCAGAUGUGUAAAAUACAUCUGUUAGCAAGGGCCGGGCAAGACCGGUGCCAGCCGCCGCGGUAACACCGGCGGCCCGAGUGGUGAUCGUGAUUAUUGGGUCUAAAGGGUCCGUAGCCGGUUUGGUCAGUCCUCCGGGAAAUCUGAUGGCUCAACCAUUAGGCUUUCGGGGGAUACUGCCAGGCUUGGAACCGGGAGAGGUAAGAGGUACUACAGGGGUAGGAGUGAAAUCUUGUAAUCCCUGUGAGACCACCUGUGGCGAAGGCGUCUUACCAGAACGGGUUCGACGGUGAGGGACGAAAGCUGGGGGCACGAACCGGAUUAGAUACCCGGGUAGUCCCAGCCGUAAACGAUGCUCGCUAGGUGUCAGGCAUGGCGCGACCGUGUCUGGUGCCGCAGGGAAGCCGUGAAGCGAGCCACCUGGGAAGUACGGCCGCAAGGCUGAAACUUAAAGGAAUUGGCGGGGGAG